AGUGAACGCUGGCGGCGUGCUUAACACAUACAAGUCGAACGCGAAAGGGGAGCAAUCCCCGAGUAGAGUGGCGAACGGGUGAGUAAAGUGUGGGUAAUCUGCCUUCCAGAGGGGGAUAACCUGGCGAAAGCCGGGCUAAUACCGCGUAAUGUUGUUUGAUCUUCGGGUUGAAUGAUGAAAGGAUAGGGAUCCGCAAGGACCUAUCGCUGGAAGAGGAGCUCACAUCCUAUCACGCUUGUUGGUGAGGUAAAGGCUCACCAAGGCGACGACGGGUAGCCGGCCUGAGAGGGUGUCCGGCCACACUGGAACUGAGACACGGUCCAGACUCCUACGGGAGGCAGCAGUGGGGAAUAUUUCGCAAUGGGGGCGAACCCUGACGAAGCAACGCCCCGUGGAGGAUGAAGGCCCUAGCGGUCGUAAACUCCUGUCUAGCGGGACGAAAGUCAUCAUCGCGAAUAGUGAUGGUGAUUGACUGUACCGCUGGAGGAAGCUCCGGCAAACUCCGUGCC
rnacentral:rRNA from 1 species